UCCAAAUCUGCCAAGUGACCCUAUGUAGGGGGAACAUUCCCUAUUCUGCUCUGUGUCAGUGUGUAUCAGGGAUCCUUAGGAUAGGUAUCAAUCCAUAUCUGCCAAGUGACCCUAUGUAGGGGGAACAGUCCCUAUUCUGCUCUGUGUCAGUGUGUAUCAGGGAUCCUUAGGAUAGGUGUCAAUCCAUAUCUGCCAAGUGACCCUAUGUAGGGGGAACAGUCUCUAUUCUGCUCUGUGUCAGUGUGUAUCAUGGUCUCUGAGGACAGGUGUCAAUCCAUAUCUGCC